AUGGCCAUAUUAUAGUCAAACACCAGUUCUUGUUUGAUCACUGAAGUUAAGCAAUGUUGAGCCUGGUCACCUAGAUGGGUGACUACUUGGGAAUACCAAGUGCU